GACAGAGGAGCCAAGCGUUGUCCGGAUUGACUGGGCGUAAAGCGCACGCAGGUGGUGGGGCAAGUGCCGUGUGAAAGCCGGUGGCUUAACUGCCGGAGGCCACAGCAGACUGCCUGACUCGAGCCCGAGAGAGGUCCGUGGAAUUGCCGGUGUAGUGGUGAAAUUCGUAGAUAUUCGGAGGAACACCAGUGGCGAAGGCGGCUCACUGGUCCAUUACUGACGCUGAGGUGCGAAAGCGUGGGGAGCAAACAGG
rnacentral:rRNA from 1 species